GCAUAUCAAUAAGCGGAGGAAAAGAAACCAACAGGGAUUGCCCUAGUAACGGCGAGUGAAGCGCGCAACAGCUCAAAUUUGAAAUCUGGCUCUUUCAGAGUCCGAGUUGUAAUUUGCAGAGGGCGCUUUGGCUUUGGCAGCGGUCCAAGUUCCUUGGAACAGGACGUCACAGAGGGUGAGAAUCCCGUACGUGGUCGCUAGCUAUUGCCGUGUAAAGCCCCUUCGACGAGUCGAGUUGUUUGGGAAUGCAGCUCUAAAUGGGAGGUAAAUUUCUUCUAAAGCUAAAUAUUGGCCAGAGACCGAUAGCGCACAAGUAGAGUGAUCGAAAGAUGAAAAGCACUUUGGAAAGAGAGUCAAACAGCACGUGAAAUUGUUGAAAGGGAAGCGCUUGCAGCCAGACUUGCUUGCAGUUGCUCAUCCGGGCUUUUGCCCGGUGCACUCUUCUGCAGGCAGGCCAGCAUCAGUUUGGGCGGUGGGAUAAAGGUCUCUGACACGUUCCUUCCUUCGGGUUGGCCAUAUAGGGGAGACGUCAUACCACCAGCCUGGACUGAGGUCCGCGCAUCUGCUAGGAUGCUGGCGUAAUGGCUGUAAGCGGCCCGUCUUGAAACACGGACCAAGGAGUCUAACAUCUAUGCGAGUGUUUGGGUGUCAAGCCCGAGCGCGUAAUGAAAGUGAACGGAGGUGGGAACCCGCAAGGGCGCACCAUCGACCGAUCCUGAAGUUUACGGAAGGAUUUGAGUAAGAGCAUGGCUGUUGGGACCCGAAAGAUGGUGAACUAUGCUUGAAUAGGGUGAAGCCAGAGGAAACUCUGGUGGAGGCUCGCAGCGGUUCUGACGUGCAAAUCGAUCGUCAAAUUUGGGCAUAGGGGCGAAAGACUAAUCGAACUAUCUAGUAGCUGGUUCCUGCCGAAG
rnacentral:rRNA from 1 species